GUAUGAAAGGGAUUGCAGGCACCAAUUUUGCCCUCCCACUUUGUGGCUUUCACCAGGUAGAAAUAAUCGGCCACCCAUUGCUGUAGCUGCUAGGACUCAUGAGGUUUUGUCAGCUACUUCAAACGGUGAUGAUGCCUCAACCACUUUGAGCAUGGGCUCCAUCAUUACUGUUAUCCCACACAUCUUCCCAUUUGAAGAAAGGGUUGAGAUGUUUAGAGAAUUCAUCAACAUGGACAAGGCAUCGAGAAAAAUGGCUGGUGAAGUUCUUGGACCUGGUGGACGUUCCGUCGAGAUAGUAAUUCGUCGUGGUCAUAUUAUUGAAGAUGGAUUUCAGCAAUUAAAUAACUUAGGAUCAAGGUUAAAGUCCGGCAUCCACGUCUCUUUCGUGAAUGAGUCUGGUCUUCCAGAGGCUGGCCUGGACUAUGGUGGGCUAUCCAAGGAAUUCUUGACAGAAAUAGCCAAAGCAGCCUUCUCACCUGAGUAUGGGCUAUUCACACAGACCUUGACUUCAGAUAGACAUCUAAUUCCUAAUACAGCUGCAAGAUUUUUGGACAAUGGAAUUCAAAUGAUCGAGUUUCUGGGGAGAAUCGUUGGCAAAGCACUCUAUGAAGGAAUAUUG
rnacentral:misc_RNA from 1 species